rnacentral:rRNA from 1 species
GAUGAACGCUGGCGGCGUGCCUAAUACAUGCAAGUCGAGCGAACAGACGAGGAGCUUGCUCCUCUGACGUUAGCGGCGGACGGGUGAGUAACACGUGGAUAACCUACCUAUAAGACUGGGAUAACUUCGGGAAACCGGAGCUAAUACCGGAUAAUAUAUUGAACCGCAUGGUUCAAUAGUGAAAGACGGUUUUGCUGUCACUUAUAGAUGGAUCCGCGCCGCAUUAGCUAGUUGGUAAGGUAACGGCUUACCAAGGCGACGAUGCGUAGCCGACCUGAGAGGGUGAUCGGCCACACUGGAACUGAGACACGGUCCAGACUCCUACGGGAGGCAGCAGUAGGGAAUCUUCCGCAAUGGGCGAAAGCCUGACGGAGCAACGCCGCGUGAGUGAUGAAGGUCUUCGGAUCUUAAAACUCUGUUAUUAGGGAAGAACAAAUGUGUAAGUAACUAUGCACGUCUUGACGGUACCGAAUCAGAAAGCCACGGCUAACUACGUG